UGACAACACGCCCGGUCGUACACGGGGCAUGCCAUAGCUUAGGCCUUAAAUCACGGCACAGGAGCUUUCCACCGGCACCGCCGCCCAUUCCAUGUGCGUCAUUUACUUGCGUCCCCUUCCAGCUUAACUGCCUCCAUAUCCCUCGUCUCUACCCUCUGCCUUGCAGCACCAUUCCGUCGUCGCCUUCUUCCCCACAUCAUCAUCGUCGCCCCUCCACAGACGCCGGGAGACCGACUCGCCGGCGAUGGAUCCCCCGCCCGCUCAGUCCAUGUCUGCGACCGACGACCUGCACGACAAGAGCCUCGACGGAUGCUGUUCUUGCUGCUACGACUGCUGCUCCAGCAUCCUGGACUUCCUGUGCUGCGCUUGAUGCUGCUCCUCCUGCCGUUCGCCGGCUUCCGGCGGAAGCGCGUGGAGAUGCCUGAGUUAUUUCGGAGUACUGUAGUCAUUGGGUGAUAAGUAUAUUUUAUAUAGUCUGUAAGGAGAUUUAUGGAUGGAUCAACUGCUGUAAUGUGUUGUCUUAUCUUCCGCUAAAGUAGUCGUGCAAAGAAAUUUACAGAAAUUCUGUUUUGCGUAUGCCAA
rnacentral:rRNA from 1 species